ACCUGCAGCUGUCGGAAAACUUCUAUUGAGUGUAGCAUACGCCUAGCGCGCUUACAACAAGCAUACGCGUUACAAAUAGUUUGCCGUUGGUGUCUCUGGUUAAAACCCUUGAGCUGUAUUCCCAUCGACUUCCGCAACGAGAUGCGAAAAGUAACACUGGUGUUGCUGAUGAUGUCCUUCACUCCAGUCGUUCACCUCCACCCGGAUGACAAGUACGACUGUCCCUACCACGAACGUGAAUGUGACACGACAUGCAAGCUACUUGGCUUCAUCGGUGGCCACUGUAGCGGCUUCGAAAACAUUUGGUGCAAAUGUGAAUUCAAACCUUGGUCGUCCAAAGAGCCAAAUAAAGAAGAGAUCGUCUUCUGA